CCUACAUGGGAGUUACCGCGAUUUAUUUACUAACCCAGAGGAUAAUAUUAUACAAUUAUGGAGACAUAAAUAUAGCCCACUAAUCUAAACUUUUUCAAAAUAUCUAUAAGUUUAAGUAUUUAGUGGCUAAAUAAAGUGCCAGCAGCCGCGGUCAAACUUUAACUUAGUUAUAGAAAUUACCAGAGAACAGAUAGCAGUAUAACUUAAUUUUUUAACUAAAACUACAGCCCAAUAAGUACGACUAGUGAAAUGGCGUACUAUUUCCUUCUCUAUUCUGUAUAAUAUAAAACUCAGCUAUUUUAACCUCCAGAUAUAAACCAGGAUUAGAUACCCUGUUAUUAGGAGUCAGACUAUGUAUAAUCUCUUAGUAACACAAUUUUUAAAAUUUAAACUAAAACAACAUGGCGGCAAAAGUUAACCUUCAGGGGAACUUACACAGUAAUUGAUAAUCCCCAAGUUAUUCUCACCCUUAUCUAAAGUUUGUAUGCCGUCGUCUACUGGUCUUUUCUAAUCAAAAGGCCAAGCUCUAAUAAGCAUGAAAUAAUAUUUGAGCUUAAUAGAGAAAGUCAGAUCAAGGUGCAGCCAAUAUAGGGGGCUGCAUGCGAGUUACACUUACAGUUACUAAAUUUGGAUGCUUAUAUUAAACCAUGAAGCUGAAAUUGGACUUGAAAGUAAUUUAGAAAUGGAUUUUACUUUAUGAAUUUUUACUAACUCUUGUGUACAAAUCGCCCGUCACUCUCAUGGAUAACACGAGAUAAGUCGUAACACAGUAGGGGUAAGGGAACUUGCCCCU
rnacentral:ncRNA from 1 species